GUAUGUGUGUGUGUAUGUAAAACUGAAUUGCUUUGCUAUACAUCUGAAACUAACAUUGUAAAUCAACUACACUUCAAUAAAAAAUAAUUUUAAAAAAUUGAAAGCCAUACUGAAAGGCAAAAAGCAUUUGAAGAGAGAGCAAACAUCAGAAUCUGGCAUAACAGAGAUGUUGGAGUUCUGAGGCUGAGAAGUUAAAACAACUAUAAUUAAUAUGCUACAACUAUAAUUAAUAUGCUACAGGCUCUAAGAGAUGAUAUAGAUACCUGCAAAAAUGGGCAAUAUAAACAAAGAGAAAUCCUAACAAAAAUGUUAGAGAUUUAAAAACAGGAAAAGAGGUGAAGAAUGCCUUUCAUGGGCUUAUUAGUAGGCUGGACAUAGCUGACAAAACAAUCUCUGACUAGGGUAUAUAUCAACAGAAUCCUCAAAAACUGAAAAGUAAAGAGAACAAAGAAUGAAGGGGGAAAAGUAACGCUAUAUCCAAGUACUAUGGGACAAAUGCAAAAGGUAUACAUCCCUAAAGAAGAAACAGAGAAAGAGAUGAAAUAUUUGAACAAUAACUACAGAUUUUCCUCAAAAUUAAAGUCAGACACCAAACCACAGAUCCAGGAAACUCAGAACAUGAAGCAAGUUAUAUGCCAGAAAUGCUAUAGUUAGGCAUUUUCAAACUAUGGAAAAUAAGGUAAUGAAAAAAAAAAUCUGGACAAAGCAGGAGGUAAACAUUUUACCAACAGACAAAGAUAAGGAUUACCUCUUACUUUUCUUCAGGAACCAGGCAAGCAAGCAAGCAAUAGAGUGAUCUAUUUAAAAUGUUGAGAGAAAAAUAUCACCAACCUAGAUUUCUGUACUCUGCAAAACUAUUCUUUCAAAAGCAAAGGAGUGGGGAAGGUAUAGCUCAGUGGUAGAGUCCAUGUUUAUCAUGCAUGAGACCCUAGGUUCAAUACCCAUUACCUCCAUUAAAAAGAAAGAAAGAAAUAUGUCCUCUACCCUCCAAAAAAUACUUUUUAAAGUGAAGGAGAAAUAAAUACUUUCUCAAACAAAAAUUGAUGGAAUUACCAUCUAAGUUAUACAUCAGUAAAACUUAAAAAUCUUAUGUGGAUUAUAGAUCCACUCCAAAUUUUUUUUUAAUGUGAUGGAAUUUGUUGCCAGUAGGUUCACCAUGCAAGAAAUGUUAAAAGAAGUUCUUUAGAGAAAAGGAAUGAAAUAUAUGUCAAGAACUCAAAUCUACAUAAAGUAAGGAAGAACAGUGAAGAAGGAGUAAGUGAAGAGUUGGAGAUUGCAAUACCCUGAAUCAGAAAUGGAUAGAUCCAACAGGCUGAAAAUCAGGAAGGAUACAGUUAAACAUCAUCAUCAAUCAGCCGGGUAUAAUGGACAUCUAUAUUGGCUUCACAAGUAAAUUCUACCAAUUAGAGACAAGUUAACACCUAUCCUUCUGAAACUAUUUCAAACAACUGCAGAGAAAGGAACACUUCUGAACUCAUCCUCUGAGGCCAUCGUCACCCCAAUACCAAAAUGAAAGAUAUCACAAAGGAAAUUACAGGCCAGUAUCGCUGAUGAACACAGAAGCAAAAACCCUCAACAAUAUACUAGUAAACUGACUCCAACAAUACACUAAAAGGAUCAUAUACCAUGAUCAAGUGGGAUUUAUUUCAAAGAUACACCACAUUAAUAAAUUGAAUAAAAGCCAUCUGAUCAUCUCAAAAGAUGCAGAAAAAGCUUUUGAUAAACUUCAACAUCCAUUUAUGAUUUAAACUCUCCAGAAAGUGGGCAUAGGGGGAACAUACCUCAACAUAAUAAAGCUCAGAUUUGACAAACCUCCAGCUAACAUCAUACCCAACAAUGAAAAGCAGAAAGCAUUCCCUCUAAGAUCAAGAAUAAGACAAGGAUGCCCACUCUGACCACUUUUAUUCAAUAUUGUUUAGAAAGUCCUAGCCACAGCAAUCAGG